rnacentral:sRNA from 1 species
GUUAUUGCCAGUUUCCGAGGAACCGUUCCAUAUGGCCUGUCAUUGGAAAUUGGAGAUACAGUUCAGAUCCUGGAGAAGUGUGAUGGCUGGUACAGAGGAUUUGCCUUAAAAAACCCAAAUAUCAAGGGUAUAUUUCCUUCCAGCUACGUUCACUUGAAAAAUGCCUGUGUAAAGAACAAAGGACAAUUUGAAAUGGUUAUUCCCACUGAAGACUCUGUUAUCACAGAAAUGACAUCAACAUUAAGAGACUGGGGAACCAUGUGGAAACAACUCUAUGUGCGUAAUGAAGGCGAUCUCUUCCACCGGCUGUGGCACAUCAUGAAUGAAAUCCUGGACCUGAGGCGGCAGGUGCUGGUGGGCCACCUCACCCACGACCGGAUGAAGGACGUGAAGCGCCACAUUACUGCCCGGCUUGACUGGGGCAAUGAACAACUGGGACUGGACCUGGUGCCUAGGAAAGAGUACGCAAUGGUGGAUCCGGAAGACAUCAGCAUUACUGAGCUCUACCGUUUGAUGGAACAUCGACAUCAGAAGAAAGACACCCCAGUGCAGGCCAGCAGUCACCACCUCUUUGUCCAGAUGAAGAGCCUCAUGUGUUCCAACCUGGGAGAGGAGCUGGAGGUCAUCUUCUCACUCUUUGACAGUAAAGAGAACCGGCCAAUCAGGUACCUGCACGUGGAGAUAGGGUUUCAAUGUCUUAAUGUUAGAACGGUGGAUAUUUGUGAUUGGCAAGCUGUAAGAUAUAUAUCUUGUAUAUUUUUUACUCCAUCAGCUUCAAUUUUCUCACCAGUAGAACUCUGAGUUUCUAAGCUGCCUGUUCUUUGGAUGUUUCUGUGAGGGAUGAUGAAUGCAGCAUUCUUUGAAAAAUUCAAAAGGGCUAUAGAAUCAGAAUAAUUGAUAUUAAAUGGAAGUAUGGCAUGGAUAUCAAGUCUGUUAUUUGUUUUAAUUAUUUUGUAUUGGUAACAUAAAGAAGAUACAGAUUCUCUGGAGAAGUUUGCUUAUCACAGUCAGCAUGCUGUAUCUUUCAGAUUUUCAGUAAACCAUUCUGUUAUUCUUAUCCUAUCUGGAUCAAAUGGUUUAAAGAGACAACUAAAUACUUAGAAACCUUCCCAUUAAAGUUUCAGAGCUUUGAGAUGAUAACUAAUUUUCACAUAUUUCUUUUUCUUUCUCAGUUCUCUGAGUCUUACCUAUUACAAUUCUCUUUUGGUUCUCUUUUCUCUUUCAGUAUUUAGAAAAGAUAUAUGGUGUAUGUUUUGGUUGUUAU